rnacentral:rRNA from 1 species
UACAGAGGUCCCGAGCGUUGUUCGGAUUCACUGGGCGUAAAGGGUGCGUAGGUGGCCUGAAAAGUUUGAUGUGAAAGCUCAGGGCUUAACCCUGAAAUGGCAUUGAAUACUGUCGGGCUGGAGGUUUGGAGGGGGGACUGGAAUUCUUGGUGUAGCAGUGAAAUGCGUAGAUAUCAAGAGGAACACCGAUGGCGAAGGCGAGUCUCUGGACGACCCCUGACACUGAGGCACGAAAGCUAGGGGAGCAAACAGG